AGAGCGAACGCUGGCGGCAGGCCUAACACAUGCAAGUCGAGCGCCCCGCAAGGGGAGCGGCAGACGGGAGAGUAACACGUGGGAACGUACCCUUCAGUUCGGAACAACCCAGGGAAACUUGGGCUAAUACCGGAUACGUCCGUAAGGAGAAAGAUUUAUCGCUGAAGGAUCGGCCCGCGUCUGAUUAGCUAGUUGGUGAGGUAACGGCUCACCAAGGCGACGAUCAGUAGCUGGUCUGAGAGGAUGAUCAGCCUCACUGGGACUGAGAAACGGUCCAGACUCCUACGGGAGGCAGCAGUGGGGAAUCUUGCGCAAUGGGCGAAAGCCUGACGCAGCAACGCCGCGUGGAGGACGAAGGCUUUCUGAGUUGUAAACUCCUUUCAGCAGGGACGAUAGUGACGGUACCUGCAGAAGAAGCACCGGCCAACUACGUGCCAGCAGCCGC
rnacentral:rRNA from 1 species